ACAUGUAUUCACAUCAACUGUUUGCCACUUUCCUUCCUUUUGAUGGGCCCAUACUUUAUGCUCCUUAGGAUACAGUAUAGUUCCACUAUGAUUGAGUCCUAAUGCAGUGAUUGAAUAUACAUUGCAUAUGGUGGCAUUGCUUAUGGUAAGUAUAAAGGCAAUAAUUUUACCAUUUUCUGCAUAAUAGGUAAAGUUGACUAAUUGCCACCAUGCUUGAAACUCCUUUUCAAAUUCUGAAGCAUUAUCCCAACUCAAUUUUUGAAUUUCAGUGGGCAAAGUUCCUCCUUCUCCCUCUCUAAUAAUAACUGCUGCUACAGAUUGUAUCCAAAACUGUGCUUGGAUGCAGCUCAAGGCAAGGCAGGUAUUGCCUUGAGUUUUUUCCAAGGGCAUUUAUAAUUAAUUGAUAAUCCUUUUCCUCAG